rnacentral:miRNA from 1 species
UGGCUCCUGCGCGCCCUAUAGCAGCACAUCAUGGUUUGCAGGCUCCCAGUACAGGUCCAAACCAUUAUGUGCUGUUACUGGGAGCACUGGGACAUCCACCAU